rnacentral:rRNA from 1 species
UACGAAGGGGGCUAGCGUUGCUCGGAAUCACUGGGCGUAAAGCGCACGUAGGCGGCUUUUUAAGUCAGGGGUGAAAUCCUGGAGCUCAACUCCAGAACUGCCUUUGAUACUGGUGAUCUUGAGUCCGGGAGAGGUGAGUGGAACUGCGAGUGUAGAGGUGAAAUUCGUAGAUAUUCGCAAGAACACCAGUGGCGAAGGCGGCUCACUGGCCCGGUACUGACGCUGAGGUGCGAAAGCGUGGGGAGCGAACAGG